ACGUUGGGGUACGCUCGCGCUGCCUAGCCUCUGCGACGUAGGUGGGAGGGAAGAGAGUAGUAAGAGAAAGGAGUCAGUAAAAGAAAGAUAACGAGCGAAAAUGAAAAUUCCAAUUGAAGAGUGAAUGGUAUUGAGAUGUGCACUGAUGUUUUCCUUUAACAGCUAACAUCCAUUGAGCUUCUAUCCUUACCAACCACCUUGCUAGAAACUAUGAAGAAGACUACCUCAUAAUCUAACAGGCAGAAAAAGAAAUUAACAGUUGCAUUACAGUGCAAAUAACAAGAAGACAUUUGCUCGUAUUAACAAAAGGUGCAUGAGUUUCAUGCUCAGCUGGCAAUGAAAAGCAUGAAGUGGCCAAGGAGUUCCUUAGUCCUGCUUGUUUCUGCUCUCCAUGGUCUGUUCCUUCCCUCUAGUGGAGUUCUCCAAUUCAAACUUGAAGAAGAGACAGCUGAAAAGAAAAGCAAAUAUGUUCAAUCUAUAUUCUUAUUUAACUUACUUAAUACAAAAAAUAAGUUUUCGUUUAUAGA